GGGCUCUCCUUCUAUUCUCAGGAGGAAACUAUGUCCAAUGGAAUAGGUAACUUGGAAAUUGGAUAGGAUUAUCCUUUUCAUCUCUACCCCAUAUGAAUGCUCAUGAAAUCAAAGCCAUAAAUAGAGCCUAAUAUACUAUAAAUUCAAGAAGGUGAAGAGGGAAGGAAGGCUAGGUCCUUUGUCACAUAGAAAUUUUCAGUUUAGGUUUUUUUGUUUUUUAGUUUUUCCUAGUCAUGAUAGUACCAUAAGAGAUAGUCUUUGUAUUCCUUUCUUUCUUGCCCUACUUUUCUUGCACUUCUUUCCUCUCUUUGUCACUCUUUACUUCUCUUCACUAGCAAGGUAUCUCAAAUUCCUUUGCUAUUGCUUUACCCCCUCCGUAGCGUUUCUCCAUAUAAAAUCAAGUUAUUUCAUUAGAGGCCAUUGUCUCCAAGAAUAACAUAGAAGAAUGGCAAUGGGUGCAAUGUCUGUGACAGUAACAGUUGCUGCUGCUGCAGCUGGGAUUUGUUUCUUCGACAAAAGCCACUCCAAAGCUCAGGAGGUGGGAAGCAGAAUGAGAUCAUCUAGUGAAAACAUGGUGGCAAAAGUGAAGAAGACCAGUGAGAUGCCAAAAUUAGCACCCCAACUGGAUGGAUUAAACUGUUUUGAAACAUUAAUAUGUCAUUGAUUCUGCUUGGUCUCCGUGGUUAAUUAUCUCCAACACUGCCUUGCAGAGGUUGUUAUUAAUGAUAAACCAUGGACAUCUCCUUCUUUAUCCAAAACAUUACUUAAUGCUUCUGUUGUAGCUAGUCAUGCAUUGCAUUGAUUAGACAUUACUAAGGAAAAAUGCUACAAUUUUUAGUCUAAACUUUUUCGGAUUAUGAUCUAUUUGUUAAUUCUUAUGGCAUGAAAUGAAAGAGGUUGAAUUGGAGGAAAUCAGGAGAGGGAUGUCUCCUAUGAAACUUCUCAUUCUAUUAAGAUUAGAUAUUGUACUUGAGCAGAGCAUGCCCAGAAGGAAGAUUAAAACCUUAAUGGGUGUUUUUAACUGAUAAUAUGGGAGAAGCUAUGCCAUCAAAGCACAGGACAUCAUGUUGACAAAUAUUUCUGCAACAAGCGGGCUGAAAUGAGACUGAUGAACAUAAACAAUGACAACAAGUAGAGCAGACGAUAUAUGGACCUCUAAGUAUCUGUGGUUUAACUGAUUGAAGAGAAAACUUCUGCUUUGAGUAAAAGCAUCCUUAUCAUAUCGCAUUAUCAACAUGUUUCUGAAGUAUGAUACAAAAUUAUACAACCUCCCACUCCCACUGAAAAGGGAAGAGUGACACUGGUUGU